CCUACGGGUGGCUGCAGUGGGGGAUAUUGCACAAUGGGGGAAACCCUGAUGCAGCGACGCCGCGUGGGUGAAGAAGUAUCUCGGUAUGUUAAGCCUCAUCAGCAGGGGAGAAAGAAGACGGUACCUGACUAAGAAGCCCCGGCUAACGACGUGCCAGAAGCCGCGGUAAUACGUAGGGGGCGAGCGUUAUCCGGAUGCACUGGGUGUAAUGGGGGCUUAGACGGGUGUGCAAGGCCGGAGUGAAAGCCUGGGGCCCAACCCCGGGACUGCGGUUGGAACUGGGAGGCUAGAGUGCGGGAGGGGCAGGCGGAAUGCGUGGUGUAGCGGUGAAAUGCGUAGAUAUCAGGAAGAACACCGACUGCGAAGGCAGCCUGCUGGACCGCGACUGACGUUGAGGCUCGAAAGCGUGGGGAGCGAACAGGAUUAGAUACCCUAGUAGUC
rnacentral:rRNA from 1 species